rnacentral:rRNA from 1 species
AGUCACUGACAUUAGACUACCCGGUAGUCCCAGCCGUAAACUAUGCGCGUUAGGUGUAUCGGUGACCACGAGUCACCGAGGUGCCGAAGGGAACCGUGAAACGUGCCGCCUGGGAAGUACGGUCGCAAGGCUGAAACUUAAAGGAAUUGGCGGGGAGCACCACAACGGGUGGAGCCUGCGGUUUAAUUGGACUCAACGCCGGGAAGCUCACCGGAUAAGACAGCGGAAUGAUUGCCGGGCUGAAGACUCUGCAUGACUAGCUG